UACGUAGGGAGCAAGCGUUGUCCGGAAUCAUUGGGCGUAAAGCGCGCGUAGGCGGCCCCGUAAGUCCGUUGUGAAAGUCAAAGGCUCAACCUUUGAAAGCCGAUGGAUACUGUGAAGCUAGAGUACGGAAGAGGCGAGUGGAAUUCCUGGUGUAGCGGUGGAAUGCGCAGAUAUCAGGAGGAACACCAAUAGCGAAGGCAGCUCGCUGGGACGUUACUGACACUGAGGCGCGAAAGCGUGGGGAGCGAACAGG
rnacentral:rRNA from 1 species